UUCAAGGCUGCGUUUCAAAGUCAACAUACGGUCAAAACACUUAAAAGACACACCCUCGCCCACUUACCCUUAGGGGAUUCCUCGUCGCCAUUUUGAUUUUGGUGGGUGGUCCAAAUGAUUAGCCAAGCAAGGGACGUUUGCAACGUAAACCCCUCAACCCUCGUUUUUUUGUCGGCUUUGCGAGUGUACAAUUAUGUUCACUGGCUUCUGGCUUCAACUGUAUUUAUUUAUUGUCAGCAAAGUAUAAGGGAAUUAUUCUACAGCCUAGUUGGAUGCGAUAAUGUAACAUUUUAUUGGAUGCAAACCACCGUUAAACUUCAUUGAAGAAGAAGGCAUUAUUACUCGCCACCAAAUUUGGUGAUGAGAGAAAGCCCAGUAGCUGGCAGUGGGAAAUGGAUUUUGGCUGACAUUCUGCACAUUUUCUCAUCAAUAAAACUAUUGAGGUCAAAUGUUUUAUGUUCCCAAACUAAACUAUGUUACAGAGUGGACUAUGUUUGUAGACUUUACCCUUUGCCAAAGUUAAAUUGUUUUAGUUGAUUAGGAUUUAAAGGGUGAAUUGAGUUAUUGCAUACAUGCAAUUCACAGAAUAGGCGUUCUCUAACGGAAAUAUGCAAAACAUGCUCGAUCUCAAUUGAUGCCAGGCACAACACAACUGGGAACCCUGGAAAUCUUUUGACUUCUGACUACAGUGCGUUGAAGACAACUGGGAACUGGGACAGCAACGACCACCCACUGGCAAAAAUCAUUUUGAACGGUCAUCCAACUCGGGCCUCUUUCUAGAGCUCUGAGCUUCUGACCUAAAGAUCACUGACAUCAUGAUUUGACCUCAUAUUUUUCAGAAUUUCCAGUUGUCUUGAAAGCAGCAUGAGUACCACAGUAUGAGUCAUAAUACCCAUAAACCCUAGCUGUAAAACCAAGAAAUGAUUACAUUUGUUAUUGCCACAUUUCUGUGUCUGGGAUUUUGGAACUACUUCAUAUCAGGUCUCUGUUUCAUGUAGGCUUACACUGGCGUGACGUUUUAAUAACCAUUCAAAUCUCUCUCAGACAAGAUUGGUGGACCGGAAACCCAGUGACAACACUCGGGUCUGCAGCUGACAUUUUCCGUUGGGAAAGAGAAAUGGCCCUGUAUUUGCCAGAAAAUUUGCUCAUCCAUCAUCGCAGAAGAGGAAGAGUCAUAUACUUCCACAAUGGCAGAAGAGGUAGAUCCAGACACAUUCAACAUGGCAGAUGAAGUUUCAGGCGCCUCGGCCACUAAAGAAUGUAGGAGGCUGCUGUCUACACCGUUGCGGAAUGUUCUCACUGAGGUGCAUCAUAUUAAGGAAACAGCGCAGUUGAAGGUUCUACAGGAGAAUCAGCUGUAUACCUGCAACAGGUAUUCAGCAUCGUGGCUGUCUGAUAAAGUACUUAGGAAAAAAACAGGACUUCCAGACAAAGAAAUGUUCAACAACAUUGUUGUUAAAAGGAUUGCGUUGUCUACUUUGCCAAGUGGAGGGUGAAGAUGUUGACAUUUGAGGAUCAAGUGUUUAUGGCUCUUAUGAAGUUGCGUCACAACUACACCAACUUGAACCUGGCUCAACUAUUCUGUUCUGGUGCAAUCACUGUCUGCAAUGUUACCAUCACUUUCAUUCACAAGCUUUUUUUCAUUAGCAUUAUGAAGACUUCCAAGUCGGGAUGGUUAUUGACUGUACUGCCAUGGAAGUUGCUACUCCAAGUCAGAUGGAUCUGCAGAAGCAAACCUAAUCUGUGUACCAUUCAAUGACCUUCUAGCUACUCCUGGGUGUUGUACCUAAUGCAGUGAUGUUAUGUUGUGAUGUUAUCUCUGCAGUGAUCUGUAUCGGACAAAGCAAUUGUCCAGGCUCUGACUGGGAGGUCCAUGGGGCGACGCACAAUUGAGAAGAUUUUCAUGUCUGGAGACAUGAUUUUUGUCAGACAAAGGCUUCUUUUUUAAACCCCUUUUUUCUCCCCAAUUUUGUGGUAUCCAACUGGUAGUAGUUACAGUCUUGUCUCAUCGGUGCAACUCCCGCACGGAUUCGGGAGAGGUCGAGAGCCAUAUGUCCUCCGAAACCCAACCCAACCAAGCCGCACUGCUUCUUGACACAAAGCACAUCCAACCCGGAAACCAGCCGUGUGUCAGAGGAAAACUGUACACCUGGCGACCUGGUCAGCGUGCACUGAACCCGGCCCGCCACAGGAGUCGCUAGUGCGCAAUAAGACGAAGAUAUCCCUGCCGACCAAACCCAGACGACACAUGGCCAACUGUGCGUCGCCCCAUGGACCUCCCGGUCGCGGCCGGCUGCGACAGUUCCUGGGCUCGAACCCAGAAUCUCUGGUGGCACAGCUAGCACUGCGAUACAAUGCCUUAGACCACUGCGCCACCCAGGAGGCCCAGACAAAGGCUUCUUGAUCCAGAGCUUGAUACAUGCAGGAAUUACUGUGAAUAUUCCUCCAUUCCUGAACCACAAAUGUUCAUGUAGCGUGAGAUGCAUCUCACAAAAGACAUAGCGGGAAAUGGGAUCCAUGUUGAUAGGGCAAACGCUACACUAAAAGAUGUAAAAAUCCUGAAAUUCAUCCCACCUUGUCUGCGUUAUAGUAAUGUGCUGGUGCAGACCUGCUGUGCACUUGUUAACCUCCAAGGCACACUCAUCAACCUCCAAGGCACACUCAUCAGAGCAGUAGCUGUUGGUUGGGAAACGAGAACAACGAGGCAUGAGGGUUUGGUGUUAAGGGAUGAGUUGUCACAUUGUCGAAGGAGUGCCUCCCUCAGACCAUCCGGUGCAUGGACAUCCUGUGCCAGUGUGAUGUGGUUGUGGAGACUACAGCACAUCAAGCCUGUGGAUGAACAAUUCAGUAACUCAUCAAAUAUGAUACAAUAUUGUGUAAAACAUUGAAUUUGUAGAUGUCUCAGUUUUGCCUGUCCCCUUUUCCUCAUGUUUUAUACAUGAGACGUGACAUGCGGAACAUCAGGCUCACCCCACGAGAAGUAUGAUCAAUGCCACCCUCAACAAGGAGAAGUGAUGUCUCUCCCAUCCUGCAUUUAGCAGAAACUGAAGCUCCACAAAACAAAGGGGAAAACAGGUACUGACAGGUGGUGCGAAGAAGACGCUGAUCCAGUGCCACCCCAAAAAACAUUGGAAUAAAACUUCAAGGGACCAACCAGGAACAACCCUGAUUAGCUUCAGUGGCAAGCCAGCAGUGGGAUGCAGGGGGUAUGCUGCUGGCCCAUUGAAGAGGAGUGGGACAACAUUCCACAGGCCACAAUCAACAGCCUGAUCAACUCUGUGCGAAGAUGUCGAGUUGCAUGCUGCGAAUGGUGGUAACACCAGAUACUGACUGGUUUUCUGAUCCACACCCCUACUUUUUUUUAAGUAUAUGUGACCAACAGGUCCAUAUCUGUAUUCCCAGUCAUGUGAAAUCUAUAAAUUAGGGCCUAAUGAAUGUAUUUAAAUGGACUGAUUUCCUUAUAUGAACUGUAACUCAGUAAAAACAUUGAAAUUGUUGCAUUUAUAUUUACAACUGGCUCAUUCAUCCCCCCUCCUCUCCCCUGUAACUAUUCUCCAGCUCGUUGCUUCAAAUGAGAAUGUGUUCUCAAGUCAACUUACCUGGUAAAAUAACAGAUAAAUAAAUAAAAAUAAACAAAUUCUGUCCAAUGCUGUAGAAUUACAACAUUAUGUUAAUCACAUUACUUUUAUAUUAGAAUAUUAGUACAUUCCCACUGUCAUAUCUAAUAGGCAACAGAAUUCGUGUUCUUAGAACUCUGUGUCUGUGAAUUGAGAGGAGCCGCUGAGAUUUUAACACUGACAGUAGAUUUACGAUGGCUUGGUGAAAAGACAUUCCAUUCUAUGAUUGGUGUCUGUGUACCUGUUUGUCUGUGCCAGGGACAUCAAAUCUCCUCUCCCAUAUGGCAGAUGAACGCUGAACUUAAUCGUUUGAGGGAAUGACCUACUGUCUAUGUUACAUUAGUACUUCUGUAUAAACAAGCAGUAAAUGACCAAGAGACAACUUGUUGCGAUGUAAUCUUGAUGUCUGUUGCAUGAGAGCACAAUGUACCUUUGUAUAAAUUCUCUCACCUGUGAUUUGUCAUGAACAUCCAGGAAGAUGGACUUUACUAUAAAAUGUGUUGCAUUAGUACCGCUUGUUGAGUUCUCAGUCAUCACCUCCAGGGUGGUUAUCAACCCCCUUUUCUUUUCUUUUCUUACAGUGGGAUGCCGGAGGGUAGUACGUUGAACUUAUGUAGGUGGUGGGAACAGUCAAACUGGAUGGAUGUCUUUGUCUCUGUGUCUCGCUUCAUCAAUUAAAACAGUCACCAAUCAAUUUAAUUUAUUUGGGGAGAGUGGGGUAAGUUGAGCCAUGUUUUACAUUCAGCAUAACUUCGUCAAGGGAAAUAUAGUAUUAUUUCUAACAAAUAGGUCUACAGGCCUUGAGAAGGUUUUCACUCCUCUUGACUUUUUACACAUUUUGUUGUUAGCCAUUUUUUUUACAUUCAACAUUACUUCAUCAAGGGAAAUAUAAUAUUAUUUCUAACAAAUAGAUCUACAGUGCCUUGAGAAGGUUUUCACUCCUCUUGACUUUUUACACAUUUUGUUGUGUUACAGCCUGCAAUUAAAAUGUGUUACAUUGAGAUUUUUGGGGGGCACUCGCCUACACAGAUAAGGCCAGUGGAAUUAUGUUUUUCAAAAUGUUUACAAAUUAAUAAAAAAUUAAAAG